GGGUUGUGAGGUUAAGCGACUAAGCGUACACGGUGGAUGCCCUGGCAGUCAGAGGCGAUGAAGGACGUGCUAAUCUGCGAUAAGCGUCGGUAAGGUGAUAUGAACCGUUAUAACCGGCGAUUUCCGAAUGGGGAAACCCAGUGUGAUUCGUCACACUAUCAUUAACUGAAUCCAUAGGUUAAUGAGGCGAACCGGGGGAACUGAAACAUCUAAGUACCCCGAGGAAAAGAAAUCAACCGAGAUUCCCCCAGUAGCGGCGAGCGAACGGGGAGCAGCCCAGAGCCUGAAUCAGUGUGUGUGUUAGUGGAAGCGUCUGGAAAGGCGUGCGAUACAGGGUGACAGCCCCGUACACAAAAAUGCACAUGCUGUGAGCUCGAUGAGUAGGGCGGGACACGUGGUAUCCUGUCUGAAUAUGGGGGGACCAUCCUCCAAGGCUAAAUACUCCUGACUGACCGAUAGUGAACCAGUACCGUGAGGGAAAGGCGAAAAGAACCCCGGCGAGGGGAGUGAAAAAGAACCUGAAACCGUGUACGUACAAGCAGUGGGAGCACGCUUAGGCGUGUGACUGCGUACCUUUUGUAUAAUGGGUCAGCGACUUAUAUUCUGUAGCAAGGUUAACCGAAUAGGGGAGCCGAAGGGAAACCGAGUCUUAACUGGGCGUUAAGUUGCAGGGUAUAGACCCGAAACCCGGUGAUCUAGCCAUGGGCAGGUUGAAGGUUGGGUAACACUAACUGGAGGACCGAACCGACUAAUGUUGAAAAAUUAGCGGAUGACUUGUGGCUGGGGGUGAAAGGCCAAUCAAACCGGGAGAUAGCUGGUUCUCCCCGAAAGCUAUUUAGGUAGCGCCUCGUGAAUUCAUCUCCGGGGGUAGAGCACUGUUUCGGCAAGGGGGUCAUCCCGACUUACCAACCCGAUGCAAACUGCGAAUACCGGAGAAUGUUAUCACGGGAGACACACGGCGGGUGCUAACGUCCGUCGUGAAGAGGGAAACAACCCAGACCGCCAGCUAAGGUCCCAAAGUCAUGGUUAAGUGGGAAACGAUGUGGGAAGGCCCAGACAGCCAGGAUGUUGGCUUAGAAGCAGCCAUCAUUUAAAGAAAGCGUAAUAGCUCACUGGUCGAGUCGGCCUGCGCGGAAGAUGUAACGGGGCUAAACCAUGCACCGAAGCUGCGGCAGCGACGCUUAUGCGUUGUUGGGUAGGGGAGCGUUCUGUAAGCCUGCGAAGGUGUGCUGUGAGGCAUGCUGGAGGUAUCAGAAGUGCGAAUGCUGACAUAAGUAACGAUAAAGCGGGUGAAAAGCCCGCUCGCCGGAAGACCAAGGGUUCCUGUCCAACGUUAAUCGGGGCAGGGUGAGUCGACCCCUAAGGCGAGGCCGAAAGGCGUAGUCGAUGGGAAACAGGUUAAUAUUCCUGUACUUGGUGUUACUGCGAAGGGGGGACGGAGAAGGCUAUGUUGGCCGGGCGACGGUUGUCCCGGUUUAAGCGUGUAGGCUGGUUUUCCAGGCAAAUCCGGAAAAUCAAGGCUGAGGCGUGAUGACGAGGCACUACGGUGCUGAAGCAACAAAUGCCCUGCUUCCAGGAAAAGCCUCUAAGCAUCAGGUAACAUCAAAUCGUACCCCAAACCGACACAGGUGGUCAGGUAGAGAAUACCAAGGCGCUUGAGAGAACUCGGGUGAAGGAACUAGGCAAAAUGGUGCCGUAACUUCGGGAGAAGGCACGCUGAUAUGUAGGUGAAGUCCCUCGCGGAUGGAGCUGAAAUCAGUCGAAGAUACCAGCUGGCUGCAACUGUUUAUUAAAAACACAGCACUGUGCAAACACGAAAGUGGACGUAUACGGUGUGACGCCUGCCCGGUGCCGGAAGGUUAAUUGAUGGGGUUAGCGCAAGCGAAGCUCUUGAUCGAAGCCCCGGUAAACGGCGGCCGUAACUAUAACGGUCCUAAGGUAGCGAAAUUCCUUGUCGGGUAAGUUCCGACCUGCACGAAUGGCGUAAUGAUGGCCAGGCUGUCUCCACCCGAGACUCAGUGAAAUUGAACUCGCUGUGAAGAUGCAGUGUACCCGCGGCAAGACGGAAAGACCCCGUGAACCUUUACUAUAGCUUGACACUGAACAUUGAGCCUUGAUGUGUAGGAUAGGUGGGAGGCUUUGAAGUGUGGACGCCAGUCUGCAUGGAGCCGACCUUGAAAUACCACCCUUUAAUGUUUGAUGUUCUAACGUUGACCCGUAAUCCGGGUUGCGGACAGUGUCUGGUGGGUAGUUUGACUGGGGCGGUCUCCUCCUAAAGAGUAACGGAGGAGCACGAAGGUUGGCUAAUCCUGGUCGGACAUCAGGAGGUUAGUGCAAUGGCAUAAGCCAGCUUGACUGCGAGCGUGACGGCGCGAGCAGGUGCGAAAGCAGGUCAUAGUGAUCCGGUGGUUCUGAAUGGAAGGGCCAUCGCUCAACGGAUAAAAGGUACUCCGGGGAUAACAGGCUGAUACCGCCCAAGAGUUCAUAUCGACGGCGGUGUUUGGCACCUCGAUGUCGGCUCAUCACAUCCUGGGGCUGAAGUAGGUCCCAAGGGUAUGGCUGUUCGCCAUUUAAAGUGGUACGCGAGCUGGGUUUAGAACGUCGUGAGACAGUUCGGUCCCUAUCUGCCGUGGGCGCUGGAGAACUGAGGGGGGCUGCUCCUAGUACGAGAGGACCGGAGUGGACGCAUCACUGGUGUUCGGGUUGUCAUGCCAAUGGCACUGCCCGGUAGCUAAAUGCGGAAGAGAUAAGUGCUGAAAGCAUCUAAGCACGAAACUUGCCCCGAGAUGAGUUCUCCCUGACUCCUUGAGAGUCCUGAAGGAACGUUGAAGACGACGACGUUGAUAGGCCGGGUGUGUAAGCGCAGCGAUGCGUUGAGCUAACCGGUACUAAUGAACCGUGAGGCUUAACCUUACAACGCCGAAGGUGUUU
rnacentral:rRNA from 1 species